rnacentral:rRNA from 1 species
UACGUAGGGUCCGAGCGUUGUCCGGAAUUAUUGGGCGUAAAGGGCUCGUAGGCGGUUUGUCGCGUCGGGAGUGAAAACACGGGGCUUAACCCCGUGCCUGCUUCCGAUACGGGCAGACUAGAGGUAUGCAGGGGAGAACGGAAUUCCUGGUGUAGCGGUGAAAUGCGCAGGUAUCAGGAGGAACACCGAUGGCGAAGGCGGUUCUCUGGGCAUUACCUGACGCUGAGGAGCGAAAGUGUGGGGAGCGAACAGG